UACAGAGGGUGCAAGCGUUAAUCGGAAUUACUGGGCGUAAAGCGUGCGUAGACGGUUACAUAAGUCGGGUGUGAAAGCCCCGGGCUCAACCUGGGAAUUGCAUUCGAGACUGCGUAGCUAGGGUGCGGAAGAGGGAAGCGGAAUUUCCGGUGUAGCGGUGAAAUGCGUAGAUAUCUGGAGGAACACCGGUGGCGAAGGCGGCAUCCUGGACCGGUAUUGACGCUGAGGCGCGAAAGCCAGGGGAGCAAACGGG
rnacentral:rRNA from 1 species